GACGAACGCUGGCGGCGUGCUUAACACAUGCAAUUCGAACGCUGAAGCUUGGUGCUUGCACUGGGUGGCUGAGUGGCGAACGGGUGAGUAAUACGUGAGUAACCUGCCCUUGACUCUGGGAUAAGCCUGGGAAACUGGGUCUAAUACUGGAUACGACAUGCCCCUGCAUGGUGGUGUGUGGAAAGGGUUUUACUGGUUUUGGAUGGGCUCACGGCCUAUCAGCUUGUUGGUGGGGUAAUGGCCUACCAAGGCGACGACGGGUAGCCGGCCUGAUGGGGUGAACGGCCACACUGGGAUUGAGAGACGCCCCAAAUUCCUACGGGAGGCAGCAGUGGGGAUAAUUGCACAAUGGGCGGAAGCCUGAUGCAGCGACGCCGCGUGAGGGAUGACGGCCUUCGGGUUGUAAACCUCUUUCAGCACGGAAGAAGCGAGAGUGACGGUACGUGCAGAAGAAGCGCGGGCUAACUACGUG
rnacentral:rRNA from 1 species